CUGGGUUGCAGAGCAUCAGAAGGGCAGAGACUGUAUCUUCUGGAGCAGGAAGACCGAAACAUCUAUUUACUCUUAUAUAUAGUCAUGGAUAGCAGCAUGGUGCCAAAUUGAAUUGAAUGCUGGCUUCCCUCCCAGGCUGGUCUCCAUCACUGCCCUCUGGACAGAGUCACUGCUGCUCAGGACACAAGAAGGUCACCUGUUUGUCACAGGGGAAGGUGGGGAGGGAAUGUGAUGACCAUUAGCAGAGUUUUAGGAUAAAGCUGGGGUGAAUUAGGAUCAGUUUGGCUACCUGUCUCGACAUGGCAAUUAGAAAGCAGAAUGGACAAAGCCAUAGUCAGUCACUGAGGCCACCCUAGAAAG
rnacentral:lncRNA from 1 species